ensembl:lncRNA
UAUGGCAUUUAUGCUCUUAAUAAAAAGGUGUUUUUCCUUAAAUCAUGUUUUUCAGAUGUCAGGGAAUUCUGGCUUAAAAAAUGCAUGCAGGGCGCUAAUCAAUCGCUGGCUCCGCCCCUCAUGUUGACUACCAGCUUACGAGCACUUCGUUCAGUACCCGUCCAAUGAAGCGGAGCGCCGUGCGCCCCUCUGCUCACACAAAGCUCUCACAGCCGUUACCGCGGAACAGGUCACAGGUCACAGGGCCGCAGAUACAGGUCACAGGUCACAGGGCCGCGGAUACAGGUCGAAGGUCACAGGGCCACGGAUACAGGUCACAGGUCACAGGGCCGCGGAUACAGGUCACAGGUCACAGGGCCGCGGAUACAGGUCGAAGGUCACAGGGCCACGGAUACAGGUCACAGGUCACAGGGCCACGGAUACAGGUCACAGGGCCACGGAUACAGGUCACAGGGCAGCGGAUACAGGUCACAGGUCACAGGGCCGCAGAUACAGGUCACAGGGUCACAGGUCACAGGGCCACGUUGUCGCUUGUGGACGCUGUUAGCUGCAAGCGGACAUCUUUGCGUUGGAGGCUGAGUGUGCAGCCUGUGUGCUGCAGCGAUAGGGGACCAAUCGCACGCCGCUCAUUUUAUUGACCAGCGCCUGAACGCACCACCUGAAUAUUUUUUUCUCAUCGGAGCAUCGGAGUAUUUGGUUAAUAACGUGAACACUGUUGUAAACGAGGACCUGCAGAUGAGUUUAGAAGACAACACAAUGACCUACGAGGCCGGACUGAGGGAGACGUCCUCUGCUGACGUCCUACCUGUCCUGUCUCACCUCCUCCUCCUCUUCUGUAUUCUGACUUCCAACAUCCACACUGAUCCUCCGCUCGGCCUGGUGGCCCGUCAGCUCAACGGGGGAGGGGCUCUUCAGGUGUGUGUGUGUGUGUGUGUGUGUGUGUGUGCGUGUGCGUGCGUGUGUGUAUGCGUGUGCGUGUGUGUGCGGGUUGUGGUGACUGCAGGCUGCUAGUAAUUGAAAAGCCAGAACGCCAGCAACCGUGACCCCUGUGACCUCCUAUUGAGAGAACAACCAUUGAUUUCUGCACAGAGGGAGCAAGUGCUAAAGAAAAGGAUACAUUAUAGGAAAGGAACAGAGCAAGAAGAAGGAAAGAGGGAAGCUGAAUACAAAGGAAGCAUUAGAGGUAAACUGGGAAGUACGAAGGACUGGGAAAGAUUUCAGACAAAGGAAUGAAUCAGGAGGCUGUCAGAGAGGCGAAGUAUAGAACAUGUGGGAUAAAAAAGUACAGGAGGGAUGAUAGAUGAGGAGGGAGAAAAAGAAUAAACAAUAAUUAAAAAGCUUGAUGUAAAAUAAACCGCAGGAUAGAAAGGAGGAAGCAAAGGGAAGAUCUGGGCAUGCAUGCUAACUAAAGCCUAGUUUAUGCUUCUGCAUUUUCAGAGCGAA